GGUGAAUAAUGGAAUUAUUGAAGAAAGUGAGAUAGCGAUAAUGUGCUUCGUGACGCCCACAAUCCAUCAUUGGAAUUUGAAUAUUAACAAGGUGCUACGUAAAAUUGGGUUGAAUGACGUGAACCGUGAAUCAAAUUCACCGUUCACCCAAGCCGGACAUACAAAUUACAAACAAUGAAGAACAAGACGAAGAAAAAUGGUAUGCCAUGUGAUUUAUUUUCUGAUUAGUAAAUUGUGAAAUAAAGGACAAUUUUGUUAA